rnacentral:rRNA from 1 species
CUGCAGUCGAGCGACUGAUUAGAAGCUUGCUUCUAAGACGUUAGCGGCGGACGGGUGAGUAACACGUGGGCAACCUGCCUGUAAGACUGGGAUAACUUCGGGAAACCGAAGCUAAUACCGGAUAGGAUCUUCUCCUUCAUGGGAGAUGAUUGAAAGAUGGUUUCGGCUAUCACUUACAGAUGGGCCCGCGGUGCAUUAGCUAGUUGGUGAGGUAACGGCUCACCAAGGCAACGAUGCAUAGCCGACCUGAGAGGGUGAUCGGCCACACUGGGACUGAGACACGGCCCAGACUCCUACGGGAGGCAGCAGUAGGGAAUCUUCCGCAAUGGACGAAAGUCUGACGGAGCAACGCCGCGUGAGUGAUGAAGGCUUUCGGGUCGUAAAACUCUGUUGUUAGGGAAGAACAAGUACAAGAGUAACUGCUUGUACCUUGACGGUACCUAACCAGAAAGCCACGGCUAACUACGUGCCAGCAGCCGCGGUAAUACGUAGGUGGCAAGCGUUAUCCGGAAUUAUUGGGCGUAAAGCGCGCGCAGGCGGUUUCUUAAGUCUGAUGUGAAAGCCCACGGCUCAACCGUGGAGGGUCAUUGGAAACUGGGGAACUUGAGUGCAGAAGAGAAAAGCGGAAUUCCACGUGUAGCGGUGAAAUGCGUAGAGAUGUGGAGGAACACCAGUGGCGAAGGCGGCUUUUUGGUCUGUAACUGACGCUGAGGCGCGAAAAGCGUGGGGAGCAAACAGGAUUUAGAUACCCUGGUAGUCCACGCCGUAAACGAUGAGUGCUAAGUGUUAGAAGGGUUUUCCGCCCUUUAGUGCUGCAGCUAACGCAUUAAGCACUCCGCCUGGGGAGUACGGUCGCAAGACUGAAACUCAAAGGAAUUGACGGGGGGCCCCCCACAAGCGGUGG